GUAUUUAUAGCUCAGUGGCAGUGCCCAUGCUUUGCAUGCAACAGGUCCCAGUUUCAAUCCCUGGCAACUCCA